rnacentral:hammerhead_ribozyme from 1 species
AUCCAGCUGACGAGUCUUGAAAAUAGGACGAAACGUGCGUCCCAGAU